GCCUUGUUGAGGAGUCCCAUAAUAGGACGAAAUGGCCGUCUAGUGC
rfam:Schistosoma margrebowiei strain Zambia genome assembly, scaffold: SMRZ_contig0001856